rnacentral:rRNA from 1 species
GAACUGAAGAGUUUGAUCAUGGCUCAGAUUGAACGCUGGCGGCAGGCCUAACACAUGCAAGUCGAGCGGAUGAAGGG